rnacentral:rRNA from 1 species
CCUACGGGUGGCAGCAGUGAGGAAUAUUGGUCAAUGGGCGAGAGCCUGAACCAGCCAAGUCGCGUGAGGGAGUACUGCCCUAUGGGUUGUAAACCUCUUUUGACGGGGAGCAAAAGUCGGACGUGUCCGGCUGUGAGAGUACCCGAAGAAAAAGCAUCGGCUAACUCCGUGCCAGCAGCCGCGGAAAUACGGAGGAUGCGAGCGUUAUCCGGAUUUAUUGGUGUUAAAGGGUGCGCAGGCGGAUUUUUAAGUCAGCGGUCAAAGCGUGGGGCUCAACCCCAUCCAGCCGUUGAAACUGGGGAUCUAGAGUGUGCGAGAGGUAUGCGGAAUGCGUGGUGUAGCGGUGAAAUGCAUAGAUAUCACGCAGAACCCCGAUUGCGAAGGCAGCAUACCGGUGCACAACUGACGCUCAGGCACGAAAGCGUGGGUAUCGAACAGGAUUAGAUACCCCUGUAGUC